UGAGGGGGGCUGCUCCUAGUACGAGAGGACCGGAGUGGACGCAUCACUGGUGUUCGGGUUGUCAUGCCAAUGGCACUGCCCGGUAGCUAAAUGCGGAAGAGAUAAGUGCUGAAAGCAUCUAAGCACGAAACUUGCCCCGAGAUGAGUUCUCCCUGACUCCUUGAGAGUCCUGAAGGAACGUUGAAGACGACGACGUUGAUAGGUCGGGUGUGUAAGCGCAGCGAUGCGUUGAGCUAACCGGUACUAAUGAACCGUGAGGCUUAACCUUACAACGCCGAAGCUGUU
rnacentral:rRNA from 1 species